AACGUAGGUUCCGAGCGUUAUCCGGAUUUACUGGGCGUAAAGCGUGUUCAGGCGGCUCAGCAAGUCGGGCAUGAAAUCUCUCGGCUCAACCGGGAGGGGCUGUCCGAUACUGCUGGGCUUGAGGGCAGUAGAGGGUGGUGGAAUUCCGGGUGUAGUGGUGAAAUGCGUAGAUAUCCGGAGGAACACCAGUGGCGAAAGCGGCCACCUGGACUGUACCUGACGCUCAAACACGAAAGCUAGGGGAGCGAACGGG
rnacentral:rRNA from 2 species